AUUGAACGCUGGCGGCAGGCCUAACACAUGCAAGUCGAGCGAGCGGCGGACGGGUGAGUAAUGUCUGGGAAACUGCCUGCUGGAGGGGGAUAACUACUGGAAACGGUAGCUAAUCCCGCAUACCAUCAGAUGUGCCCAGAUGGGAUUAGCUAGUAGGUGGGGUAAUGGCUCACCUCGGCGACGAUCCCUAGCUGGUCUGAGAGGAUGACCAGCCACACGGGAACUGAGACACGGUCAAGACUCCGACGGGAGGCAGCAGGGGGGAAUAGUGCACAAUGGGCGCAAGCCUGAUGCAGCCAGGCCGCGUGUGUGAAGAAGGCCUUCGGGUUGUAAAGCACUUUCAGCGGGGAGGCGUUACCCGCAGAAGAAGCACCGGCUAACUCCGUGCCAGCAGCCGCGGUAAUUC
rnacentral:rRNA from 1 species